GAAGUGGCCAGAGGCCGCUGCUGCUGGGCAGGGCUGGAUGGGAGGGCGUGGGGGUGGGGAUGCGGUGUGAAGCAGGGGCGGUGAGGGUUUGUAUGUAGCGGGUAGAGGGCUCUACAGAGCUUGUGUUUGUGGGAGAGAGAGGGGAAUGUCACAAGGCUGCUUCGGGGUUAGGACACCUGUGGUGACUCCAGGAUGCAGCCAGGCAACAGGAGCAGCAAUGGGGACAGCAGAGGAGGCCGUCAGGGAGAAAAUAAAUCAGAUUCGGAGGAACAGACUAUCUCCCCAGCUUGGGGGCGGUGAAUUCCCCGCAGCCGGGGUUUCCUGCGACGAUCCUCAGCGGCGGAGGGUGGCCUUCUGGACACUCAGAAAGUUCAAAUGAGCUGUACUUUAUUUAAAGCGAUGUCUACAUACA